AUCUCCACCUCUCUGUUUAACCAUGUCUGGUGUAUAUUAGUUGGUAACAUGUUAGGAGGGGGCCUACACAAGGAAAACCUGACUCAUCCAUCAGCAUCUUCAUAAGGAGGGGAUGCUGCAGUGGUGGUGUUCAGGAGGGCAGCGCUCCGGGUGGUGUUCAGGAGGGCAGCGCUCCGGGUGGUGUUCAGGAGGGCAGCGCUCCGGGUGGUGUUCAGGAGGGCAGCGCUCCGGGUGGUGUUCAGUGUUGCACCCUACUAAACAUCCCUGGUGUUGACCAGUGGCAGUUCAUAUCACCUGACUAAACUCUGAAACUAGGUCCCAAAUGUCUGCUUAUUCUCUAUGUAGUGGACUGCUUGGACCACAGCCCUAUAGAUCCUGGUCUAAAGUAGUGCACUGCAUAUGGAGUAGGGGGCCAUUUGGGAUAACCUGAAUGUAUUAUGACUUGCUGUCUGAAGGUGUUAUGGCUAGCCAGUUUUCCGGUCACAUAGCCCCUGUUGUCGGGUCCUCUUACUGAGUUAGUACCUGCUAGUUCCAGGGCUGUCUACCUUCUACCUGCUCUGGAUAACUGGUUGCUUUUGGGACCUUGGAUUGUCUUUUUGUAUCUGGGGUUACGGGGAGCUGGGUUGGGUGAUGGGACGGGGUGGGAGGCUUUAGAAGGUCUAUUACCUCUGUAUACAGGGCUUCUGUUAUUUUGUGGAAUAUCAACAAGCUUGUUUUCUGUUAACCCGGGAUCCUGUUGUGUCUGUUGGCAUUGGAUGUGUCUCAAUUGGCAGCCUGUGCCCUGUUAAGUGCAAUACACAGGGCUCUGGUCUAAAGUAGUGUACUAUAUAGGGAAUAGGGCUCUGGUCUAUAGUAGUGCACUAUAUAGGGAAUAGGGCCCUGGUCUAAUCUAGUGCACUACAUAGGGAAUAGGGCUCUGGUCUAUAGUAGUGUACUAUAUAGGGAAUAGGGCUCUGGUCUAUAGUAGUGUACUAUAUAGGGAAUAGGGCUCUGGUCUAAAGUAGUGUACUAUAUAGGGAAUAGGGCUCUGGUCUAUAGUAGUGUACUAUAUAGGGAAUAGGGCUCUACUCUAGUGGUGUACUAUAUAGGGAAUAGGGUUCUGGUCUAAAGUAGUGCACUAUAUAGGGAAUAGGGCUCUGGUCUAAAGUAGUAAACUAUAUAGGGAAUAGGGCUCUGGUCUAUAGUAGUGCACUACAUAGGGAAUAGGGCUCUGGUCUAAAGUAGUUCACUAUAUAGGGAAUAGGGCUCUGGUCUAUAGUAGUGUACUAUAUAGGGAAUAGGGCUCUGGUCUAUAGUAGUGCACUAUAUAGGGAAUAGGGCCCUGGUCUAAAGUAGUGCACUAUAUAGGGAAUAGGGCUCUGGUCUAUAGUAGUGUACUAUAUAGGGGAAUAGGGCUCUGGUCUAAAGUAGUGCACUAUAUAGGGAAUAGGGCUCUGGUCUAAAGUAGUGCACUAUAUAGGGAAUAGGGCUCUGGUCUAUAGUAGUUGCACUAUAUAGGGAAUAGGGCUCUGGUCUAUAGUAGUGCACUAUAUAGGGAAUAGGGCUCUGGUCUAAAGUAGUGCACUAUAUAGGGAAUAGGGCUCUGGUCUAAAGUAGUGCACUAUAUAGGGAAUAGGGCUCUGGUCUAAAGUAGUGUACUAUAUAGGGAAUAGGGUUCUGGUCUAAAGUAGUGCACUAUAUAGGGAAUAGGGCUCUGGUCUAUAGUAGUACCACUAUAUAGGGAAUAGGGCUCUGGUCUAUAGUAGUACCACUAUAUAGGGAAUAGGGCUCUGGUCUAUAGUAGUACCACUAUAUAGGGAAUAGGGCUCUGGUCUAUAGUAGUACCACUAUAUAUAGGGGAAAUAUUUCCCUUUGGGACAUUUAAUAAUGUGGCUGAUCUGGUAGCCAUGGAAAACAUCUGAUAUGACCUACCGACAUUCUAUUAGACAGACUUCAUCUCAUUAUUACCCUUCUCUCUAGUCUGGUUGGCUCUCAUUCUGUCGUCCUAGAGAUGGUUAUCAUUUACAGCAGGGUUGGGGUCCUCUUCAGGCCGUGGAAUAAUAUCUGUACCUUCUGUCUCUGAGGAGGACCUCUCCUGUGACGUCUUUAUGAAGCCAGAAGUUUCUUCCAAAAGCACUCAUAGAAAACUAAGAAUGAAAUGAGUAAGGAUGAAAUUGAGCCCAACCCUGUUUCACAUUGAGGUGAUUAUCUCAGCAGGCUCAAGUCUAGUUCAGUACAACAUGGUAUAGUAGUAACACCCUUUGUUCAUUCAUCUCAACCAGGAAUGUAUCACUCUGACCCCAACUGUAUGCAAGUUAUCUGUCUGUGUACAUAAACCAACCAGCUCUAUUCAUCACCUUCAAGCUUAAUGAACUGUGUGUGUGUGUGUGUGUGUGUGUGUGUGUGUGUGUGUGUGUGUGUGUGUGUGUGUGUGUGUGUGUGUUUGUUUGCGUGCGUGCAGGGACCCAAAUUGUGUUUUCUCCCCCCAAAAAAAAUAUUUCACAACGAUGAUACCAUGGAAGAAACAUUUACAAAUAUACCUUUUAAAAGCAUGUUCGGUUAUUAUUAUUUUUUACAAUUUUCUUUGCAUAAAUAUCAGUUUUUGUUUGGGAAAACUGCAAACUGUUUGGAAAAUAAACAACAAAAUGUGUGUAAAACAUGGGACCCACGAGUCAUGAUAUCUCCGGUGUGAAGUUUCCCCUAGGUACAGAUCUUAGGAUCAGCUUUCCCUCCCCCAGUCCUUCCCCUAACCAUUAGUGAGGGAAAUGUCAAACUGACCCAAGAUCAGCAUAUAUGGAGCAACUUCACCCAACACCAUUUUUC
ensembl:lncRNA